UGGGGAAUAUUGCACAAUGGGGGAAACCCUGAUGCAGCGACGCCGCGUGAGUGAAGAAGUAUCUCGGUACGUAAAGCUCUAUCAGCAGGGAAGAAAAUGACGGUACCUGACUAAGAAGCCCCGGCUAACUACGUGCCAGCAGCCGCGGUAAUACGUAGGGGGCAAGCGUUAUCCGGAUUUACUGGGUGUAAAGGGAGCGUAGACGGCAGCGCAAGUCUGGAGUGAAAUGCCGGGGCCCAACCCCGGAACUGCUUUGGAAACUGUGCAGCUCGAGUGCAGGAGAGGUAAGCGGAAUUCCUAGUG
rnacentral:rRNA from 1 species